rnacentral:rRNA from 1 species
UAGUCAUAUGCUUGUAUCAAGGAUUGAGCCAUGCAUGUAUCAGUAUAAACUUGUAUCAAGUGAAACCGCGAAUGGCUCAUUAAAUCAGUUAUGGUUUAUUAGAUCGUACUUUUACAUGGAUACCUUUGGGAUUUUCUAGAGCUAAUACAUGCAAAAUAUCUACACCUAGUGUAGAUGCUUUUAUUAGAACAAAAUCAACCAUGUACUUUCGGGUGCAUGAAUUUUUGUUGACUCUGGAUAACUUUGUGCGAAUCGAGCGGUCUUGUACCGUUGAAGUACCUUUCAAAUGUCUGACUUAUCAACUUUCGAUGGUAGGUUAUAUGCCUACCAUGGUAGUCACGAGUAACGGGGAAUCAGGGUUCGAUUCCGGAGAGGGAGCCUGAGAAACGGCUACUACAUCCAAGGAAGGCAGCAGGCACGCAAAUUACCCAAUCCCGGUACGGGGAGGUAGUGACGAUAAAUAACAGAGCAAGUCUCUUACAGAGAUUGUGCUAUGGGAAUGAGUACACUUUAAAUCGUUUAACGAGGAUCAAUUGGAGGGCAAGUCUGGUGCCAGCAGCCGCGGUAAUUCCAGCUCCAAAAGCGUAUAUUAAAGUUGUUGCAGUUAAAAAGCUCGUAGUUGGAUUUGGGGUAACGGCGAAAGCUAAUCAUUGUAAGAUGAAAGCUCUCGGGCUGACCCAUACCUUGCAGUAUUCUCGUGUUGCACUUAAUUGUGUGAUGCGGCGAAGCUGAAACGUUUACUUUGAAAAAAUUAGAGUGCUCAAAUCAGGCGACUUGCUUGAAUAAUGUUGCAUGGGAUAAUGAAAUAGGACCGCGGUUCUAUUUUGUUGGUUUUCGAUUACCGAGGUAAUGAUCGAGAGGAACAGUCGGGGGCAUUCGUAUUGUGGCGCUAGAGGUGGAAUUCUUGGACCGCUGCAAGACGAACAACUGCGAAAGCAUUUGCCAAGGAUGUUUUCAUUGAUCAAGAACGAAAGUCAGAGGUUCGAAGGCGAUUAGAUACCGCCGUAGUUUUGACUAUAAACGAUGUCGACUGGUGAUCCGUUUGGUAUUUUUGCUUAGCCAAGCGGGCAACCUUCGGGAAACCAAAGUUUUUGGAUUCCGGGGGGAGUAUGGUUGCAAAGCUGAAACUUAAAGGAAUUGACGGAAGGGCACUACCAGGAGUGGAGCCUGCGGCUUAAUUUGACUCAACACGGGGAAACUCACCCGGGCCGGACACUUUAAGGAUUGACAGGUUGAAAGCUCUUUCUUGAUAAAGUGGGUGGUGGUGCAUGGCCGUUCACAGUUGGUGAAGUGAUUUGUCUGGUUAAUUCCGAUAACGAACGAGACUCUAGCCUACUUACUAGCACUUGGAUGCACUUUUGUGGUUCAAGUCGCUUCUUAGAGGGACAAAUGGCCAUUGUGUAGUCAUAUGAGAAUGAGCAAUAACAGGUCUGUGAUGCCCUUAGAUGUCCGGGGCUGCACGCGCGCUACUCUAAUCGAGUCAGUGUGAGUUGUCCUUAUGCGAAAGCAUUUGGUAAUCAUGCAAACUUGUGCGUGAUGGGGAUAGAGAAUUGCAAUUAUUUCUCUUGAACGAGGAAUUCCUAGUAAGUGCAGGUCAUCAACUUGCGUUGAUUACGUCCCUGCCCUUUGUACACACCGCCCGUCGCUACUACCGAUUGAAUGACUUAGUGAGGUCUUCGGACUGAUGCGAAUUAGAUGAUGAAAGUCGUCGAAUUUGUGUUGGGAAGUUGAUCAAGCUCGGUUAUUUCGAGGAAGUAAAAGUCGUAACAAGGUUUCC